rnacentral:rRNA from 1 species
GAUUAACGCUGGCGGCAUGCCUAAGACAUGCAAGUCGAACGGGAAGCCCCAAUGAAAAUGGAAUGAAGUUGAAGAGCUUGCUCUGAUAUGGAAUGAAGUUGGAUUUGGAUUCUGCUUCCAGUGGCGAACGGGUGAGUAACACGUGGGUUAUCUGCCUUCAAGCUGGGGGAUAACGGUUAGAAAUGAUCGCUAAUACCGAAUGUGCUAGUAAUAGUAAAGGCGCUCUUAAGCGUCACUUGAAGAUGAGCCUGCGGCGUAUUAGCUAGUUGGUGGGGUAAUGGCCUACCAAGGCGACGAUGCGUAACCGGACUGAGAGGUUGAACGGUCACACUGGGACUGAGACACGGCCCAGACUCCUACGGGAGACAGCAGUUAGGAAUAUUCGGCAAUGGGCGAAAGCCUGACCGAGCAAUGCCGCGUGUGAGAUGAAGGUCCUCUGGAUUGUAAAUCACUUUUAUCCGGAACGAAACGUGUCGGGUG